rnacentral:tRNA from 2 species
GCCGAAGUGGUGGAAUUGGUAGACACGCUAGGUUCAGGGUCUAGUGGACUUAAGUCCGUGGGAGUUCGAGUCUCCCCUUCGGUACCA